rnacentral:rRNA from 1 species
GCAAUCUGCCCUUCACUCUGGGACAAGCCCUGGAAACGGGGUCUAAUACCGGAUACCACUCCUGCCUGCAUGGGCGGGGGUUGAAAGCUCCGGCGGUGAAGGAUGAGCCCGCGGCCUAUCAGCUUGUUGGUGGGGUAAUGGCCCACCAAGGCGACGACGGGUAGCCGGCCUGAGAGGGCGACCGGCCACACUGGGACUGAGACACGGCCCAGACUCCUACGGGAGGCAGCAGUGGGGAAUAUUGCACAAUGGGCGAAAGCCUGAUGCAGCGACGCCGCGUGAGGGAUGACGGCCUUCGGGUUGUAAACCUCUUUCAGCAGGGAAGAAGCGAAAGUGACGGUACCUGCAGAAGAAGCGCCGGCUAACUACGUGCCAGCAGCCGCGGUAAUACGUAGGGCGCAAGCGUUGUCCGGAAUUAUUGGGCGUAAAGAGCUCGUAGGCGGCUUGUCACGUCGGAUGUGAAAGCCCGAGGCUUAACCUCGGGUCUGCAUUCGAUACGGGCUAGCUAGAGUGUGGUAGGGGAGAUCGGAAUUCCUGGUGUAGCGGUGAAAUGCGCAGAUAUCAGGAGGAACACCGGUGGCGAAGGCGGAUCUCUGGGCCAUUACUGACGCUGAGGAGCGAAAGCGUGGGGAGCGAACAGGAUUAGAUACCCUGGUAGUCCACGCCGUAAACGUUGGGGAACUAGGUGUUGGCGACAUUCCACGUCGUCGGGUGCCGCAGCUAACGGCAUUAAGUUCCCCGCCUGGGGCAGUACGGGCCGCAAGGCUAAAACUCAAAGGAAUUUGACGGGGGCCCCGCAACAAGCGGCGGUAGCAUGUGGCUUAAACUUCGACUCAGCGCCGAGAACCCUUACCAAGGCUUGACAUAUACCGGAAAGCAUUAGAAAUAGUGCCCCCCUUCGUGGUCGGUAUACAGCUGGUGCAUUGCUGUCGUCAGGCUCGUGUCGUGAGAAUGU